GUGGGGAAUAUUGGGCAAUGGGCGAAAGCCUGACCCAGCGACGCCGCGUGAAGGAAGAAGGCCCUCGGGUUGUAAACUUCAGUCAACAGGGAAGAAACAAAUGACGGUACCUGUGGAGGAAGCCACGGCUAACUACGUGCCAGCAGCCGCGGUAAUACGUAGGUGGCAAGCGUUAUCCGGAUUUACUGGGUGUAAAGGGUGUGUAGGCGGGUCUGCAAGUCAGAUGUGAAAACUAUGGGCUCAACUCAUAGCUUGCAUUUGAAACUGUGGAUCUUGAGUGUCGGAGAGGUAAAUGGAAUUCCCGGUGUAGAGGUGAAAUUCGUAGAUAUCGGGAGGAACACCAGUGGCGAAGGCGGUUUACUGGACGAUUACUGACGCUGAGACACGAAAGUGUGGGGAGCAAACAGGAUUAGAAACCCUAGUAGUCC
rnacentral:rRNA from 1 species